AGUGGCGAACGGGUGAGUAACACGUGACCAACCUGCCUCUUACAUUGGGACAACCAAAAGAAAUUCUUGCUAAUACCAAAUACUCCGCACAUAUCACAUGAUGUAUGCGGGAAAGCUUUUGCGGUAAGAGAUGGGGUCGCGGCCCAUUAGGUAGACGGCGGGGUAGAAGCCCACCGUGCCGAUGAUGGGUAGCCGGGUUGAGAGACCGACCGGCCACAUUGGGACUGAGAUACGGCCCAGACUCCUACGGGAGGCAGCAGAC
rnacentral:rRNA from 1 species